UACGUAGGCAGCGAGCGUUGUUCGGAGUUACUGGGCGUAAAGGGUGUGUAGGCGGUUGUUUAAGGUUGGUGUGAAAUCUCCCGGCUCAACUGGGAGGGUGCGCCGAAUACUGAAUGACUGGAGUGCGGGAGAGGAAAGUGGAAUUCCUGGUGUAGCGGUGAAAUGCGUAGAUAUCAGGAGGAACACCGGUGGUGUAGACGGCUUUCUGGACCGUAACUGACGCUGAGACACGAAAGCGUGGGUAGCAAACAGG
rnacentral:rRNA from 1 species